CGGGUUGCUACUAUUCAUGAGACCUUGAAAUUUUAGAAUAUUUGGUCUGUUUAUAAAAGGUUUCUUUAGUAGCAAUUGUCUACUAUCGUCUAUUGCUGAGCAUUCUAAAAUGUAAUGGAACUCGUCGCCAAUAUCACCGUUAUUGCACAAAGUACAAAUACGAUUUUCUCUCUGAAUGUUUUGCCAUCUACCAAUUUCGAUAGGAAUUUUUGUGUUCAAAGUUCUAAAUCUACAAAAAGAAGCAAUGUUUUUGUCAUCUAAAAUAUCAAAGUAAAAUUCGAAAUUUAAACUAUUUUUGAAUAACUUAUAAUUUAGAGCUUUUGGAGAAUUCUGUACAGUAGCAUACCAUGUCUGUCUGAACUGGUCAGUUAGUCUUAAUUUAACAGUAUCAUACAACCAGUUUUUACUUAUAAAAUAUUUAGUGUUCCAUAUAUUUGAUAGUCCACAAUUAUCAAGCACAGAUUUUACAUUCUUGAACCAAGCUAUAUUUCCAUUAUAACUACCAGUAACAAGAUUGUAUAGAAUAACAGGAAGUUUCUUAUUUUCCCCAGUUACAAG
rnacentral:lncRNA from 1 species